rnacentral:rRNA from 1 species
UACGUAGGUGGCAAGCGUUGUCCGGAUUUAUUGGGUUUAAAGGGUGCGUAGGCGGUUUCAUAAGUCAGUGGUGAAAUACGGCAGCUCAACUGUCGAGGUGCCAUUGAUACUGUGAGACUUGAGUACAGACGAGGUAGGCGGAAUUGACGGUGUAGCGGUGAAAUGCUUAGAUAUCGUCAAGAACACCGAUAGCGAAGGCAGCUUACUAGGCUGUAACUGACGCUGAGGCACGAAAGUGUGAGGAUCAAACAGG